rnacentral:rRNA from 1 species
CAGUCGCCGCGGUAAUACGAACCGUGCGAACGUUAUUCGGAAUUACUGGGCUUAAAGCGCGUGUAGGCGGGCCGCCACGUCGGUUGCUGAAAUCCCCCGGCUCAACCGGGGAAGUGGCAUCGAUACGAGCGGCCUUGAGGGGGGUAGGGGGAUCUGGAACUUCCGGUGGAGCGGUGAAAUGCGUUGAGAUCGGAAGGAACGCCCGUGGCGAAAGCGAGGUCCUGGACCCUUUCUGACGCUGAGACGCGAAAGCCAGGGGAGCGAACGGGAUUAGAUACCCCUGUAGUCCCUGUCUCUUAUA